UACAGAGGGUGCAAGCGUUGCUCGGAUUUACUGGGCGUAAAGCGUGCGCAGACGGCCACGCAGGUCGGAUGUGAAAGCCCCGGGCUCAACCUGGGAACAGCAUUCGAAACCAUGUGGCUAGAGUGUGGGAGAGGAGAGCAGAAUUCCCGGUGUAGAGGUGAAAUUCGUAGAUAUCGGGAGGAAUACCAGCGGCGAAGGCGGCUCUCUGGCCCAUUACUGACGUUCAGGCACGAAAGCGUGGGGAGCAAACAGGAUUAGAAACCCGAGUAGU
rnacentral:rRNA from 1 species